rnacentral:rRNA from 1 species
GACGAACGCUGGCGGCGCGCUUAACACAUGCAAGUCGAGCGAGAACCAUUCCUUCGGGAAUGGGGAAAGCGGCGAACGGGUGAGUAACACGUGAGUAAUCCACCCUUGGUACCGGGAUAGCCCGAGGAAACUCGGAUUAAUACCGGAUAGCCCAACAGCCUUUCGGGGUCGGUUGGAAAGGUAGCUUCGGCCUCCGACCAAGGACGAGCUCGCGGCGGAUUAGCUUGUUGGCGGGGUAAUGGCCCACCAAGGCGACAAUCCGUAGCUGGUCUGAGAGGACGAUCAGCCACACUGGGGACUGAGACACGGCCCAGACUCCUACGGGAGGGCAGCAGUGGGGAAUCUUGCGCAAU